rnacentral:rRNA from 1 species
GACGAACGCUGGCGGCGUGCUUAACACAUGCAAGUCGAACGGAAAGGCCCUGCUUUUGUGGGGUGCUCGAGUGGCGAACGGGUGAGUAACACGUGAGUAACCUGCCCUUGACUUUGGGAUAACUUCAGGAAACUGGGGCUAAUACCGGAUAGGAGCUCCUGCUGCAUGGUGGGGGUUGGAAAGUUUCGGCGGUUGGGGAUGGACUCGCGGCUUAUCAGCUUGUUGGUGGGGUAGUGGCUUACCAAGGCUUUGACGGGUAGCCGGCCUGGGAGGGUGACCGGCCACAUUGGGACUGAGAUGCGGCCCAGACUCCUACGGGAGGCAGCAGUGGGGAAUAGUGCACAAUGGGCGGAAGCCUGAUGCAGCAACGCCGCGUGCGGGAUGACGGCCUUCGGGUUGUAAACCGCUUUCGCCUGUGACGAAGCGUGAGUGACGGUAAUGGGUAAAGAAGCACCGGCUAACUACGUG